AUGGCGAAAGCUAUACCAAAAUCAUUUCCAAACACCGUCCACAAGCUAUGUCGUUGGCACAUCUUGAAGAAGUACAGGGAAUACCUUGCGUUGUUGUACAAAAAAAUGACUUCCACACAACGAAGCGAGAGCAUGAACCACGUGCUAAAGAAAGGGUUUGUCAAGGGGACCCAGAACCUACACAAGUUUGCUAGGCGGACCAAUCCUGUGACAAAAACAACUUACGGCUACGAGGAAGACAUGUCUAUCAAGUACACGAGAGCCGUGUACACUGAGAUGAGGAAUAGGAUGAGAAAGGCCAUGCUAUUUCGCGCAAAGCAUACAGCAGAGCCCACUAAGUACCUUGUGUACUACCACAACAAGCCUGGCCAUGAUGAUGAAGAAAGAUUUUCCUUGGCAAAGCAUGAAUUCUAG
rnacentral:rRNA from 1 species